UACGGGAGGCAGCAGUGGGGAAUAUUGCACAAUGGGCGCAAGCCUGAUGCAGCCAUGCCGCGUGUAUGAAGAAGGCCUUCGGGUUGUAAAGUACUUUCAGUCGUGAGGAAGGUGUUAAGGUUAAUAACCUUAGCAAUUGACGUUAGCGACAGAAGAAGCACCGGCUAACUCCGUGCCAGCAGCCGCGGUAAUACGGAAGGGUGCGAGCGUUAAUCGGAAUUACUGGGCGUAAAGGGCACGCAGGCGGUUAAUUAAGUUGGAUGUGAAAUCCCCGGGCUUAACCUGGGAAUGGCAUUCAAGACUGGUUAGCUAGAGUCUUGUAGAGGGGGUAGAAUUCCAUGUGUAGCGGUGAAAUGCGUAGAGAUGUGGAGGAAUACCGGUGGCGAAGGCGGCCCCUGGACAAAGACUGACGCUCAUGUGCGAAAGCGUGGGGAGCAAACAGGGAUUAGAUACC
rnacentral:rRNA from 1 species